UUCAAGGCGGGAGUUGGGGACUCACUAGCCUUCUUGUCUCAAUUAGGCUGCUUUGAAGAGAUCUGGCGAUGGAAUCAAUUGCAGACCUGCUGGUUCGGCUUUUCAUGGUUUGCAGACUACAGUCUUUCUAGAUCUGCUCAAGUUUGUGUGCCUUUUUAUCAUGGAGGUACUGCCCAUCGCCACAGCUCGAAUCUGCCUUUGCCCUCACCUAUCCUCUCCACUUCUUUCUUGAGCCAAUCUCCAUUCAGAUUUUUCGGCAGCGGCCGCGCAGUGGAUGGGUGAAAAUUUCGUUUCUUUCGACCUCACCUGGAAAGUAGAGGCCCUCUGCAAGCAUCUAUAAUCUUUCGUCCCGAUUUAGCCUUUGUGUGCUUGCCGCAAUUACCAUCUUUUUUUAGGCGGCAUCUGCAGCAGGGGAGCCUUUUAUAGUUUAUGUGCUUUUUGCGACCUUAUUCGUGAGGAUAUGCUGCUGUGACAUCAGGCUUCAUGUGUAUACUCUGCUCACUCACACCAACGGCUUUCGGGAGGUUCUUCAUACUUUUGCUUCAAUUCGGCGACCGCAUGUUGCGAGUGGCUAUUCUUCGCGAGUGUGCAGGCUGGGUAUUUCGCGCUAUAGCAUUUCGCGCUGACCAUUCUAUAUUGCCUUAUUUGGUCAAUUUCGACACCUGGUGUAGAAGUUAUGUCACGGACCCUGCCGAGCUGCGUACUGUGCACGGUCUCCUGGAUAUCUUCUGGGUCGAGCAACGUUUUUGAAAAUUUCGACAUGUUUUGGUUUCUGCAGAUCUGUGUCUUGCAUAUGUGACCAUUUUUGUACGCUUCUGCCGUUGGAUGCAGCUGCUGCUAUCAAGUUUGUUUGGGUGGCACCUGCAGUCUUCACGGGCUCAGCAUUAUCUUCUGAUUGGUGCAGCGAAUUGGACUGUUUCUGCUUUCAACCUGUAGCAGACAGCCUGGGCUUUGAUGUGAUACUGUGACAUUUCGGAUUUCAAGCUCGUGUUUUUUUUGGUGAACAGGUACUUAACAUGCAACAUGGUUUUCACUUCGUUAUUGCAAUCUGCUUGUUGCUAUCAUUGGAGGAGGAAAACAGUCAGAGGCGGUAUGUGGAUUUGCAUGAAGGACUGGAAGAAUCUGUUUGUAGUGCAAUGAUUUGGAGGCUGCUUCAUCAACAGAUCAGUUUAAUAGCCAAAAACAAUAUUCCUAAGACUUGCUUUGUGUACACUAUUUGGUUUAUACAAGUUUUUGGUGAUGUCAUUUGGUUUGAA